rnacentral:rRNA from 1 species
GACGAACGCUGGCGGCGUGCUUAACACAUGCAAGUCGAGCGGUAAGGCCCUUUCGGGGGUACACGAGCGGCGAACGGGUGAGUAACACGUGGGUGACCUGCCCUCAGCUCUGGGAUAAGCCCGGGAAACUGGGUCUAAUACCGGAUAUGACUUCAUGACGCAUGUUGUGGAGUGGAAAGCCUUGUGCGGCUGAGGAUGGGCCCGCGGCCUAUCAGCUUGUUGGUGGGGUGANGGCCUACCAAGGCGACGACGGGUAGCCGGCCUGAGAGGGCGACCGGCACACUGGGACUGAGAUACGGCCCAGACUCCUACGGGAGGCAGCAGUGGGGAAUCUUGCGC